rnacentral:rRNA from 1 species
AUUUUGGACAAUGGGGGCAACCCUGAUCCAGCCAUCCCGCGUGUGCGAUGAAGGCCUUCGGGUUGUAAAGCACUUUUGGCAGGGAAGAAAAGGCUCUGGCUAAUACCUGGAGCUGCUGACGGUACCUGCAGAAUAAGCACCGGCUAACUACGUGCCAGCAGCCGCGGUAAUACGUAGGGUGCAAGCGUUAAUCGGAAUUACUGGGCGUAAAGCGUUCGCAGGCGGUUUCGACAAGAAGAUGUUGAAUCCCAGGGCUUAAACUUUGAACUGCAUUCUUAAAUGGCGGGGUAGAGGAUGGCAGAAGGGGGUAGGAUUCCGCGUGGAGGCGUGAAAUGCGUAGAGAAGCGGAGGAAAACCGAUGGCGGAGGCAGCCCCCUGGGAUAAUACUGACGCUUAUGCACGAAAACGUGGGGAGCAAACA